UACGUAGGGGGCAAGCGUUGUCCGGAAUCAUUGGGCGUAAAGAGCGUGUAGGCGGCCCGAUAAGUCCGCUGUGAAAGUCCAGGGCUCAACCCUGGAAUGCCGGUGGAUACUGUCGGGCUCGAAUCCGGAAGAGGUGGAGUGGAAUUCCUGGUGUAGCGGUGAAAUGCGCAGAUAUCAGGAGGAACACCAAUGGCGAAGGCAGCUCACUGGGACGGUAUUGACGCUGGAGACGCGAAAGCGUGGGGAGCAAACAGG
rnacentral:rRNA from 1 species